UUAACAGGUAGUUAUUCUCAUUUGAUGUUGUUAAACAUAUGAAAGAAAGGCGAAUGAACGUAACGGCGUUCGUUAAUGCUUUCAUUUCUAUGGAUAAAGGAAACAGAAGAACACCCAUUUCUGAAGCGGGUGAUGUAAUGACAUUUGUAAUUUCAAUUAUCACUACAGCAUGUGUUGAAAUCUGAACAUGCUUGCAACUCGUGGUAAUUUUUGGUUUUCUGCAGUUUCUGAGCAAUGGAUUGUCUAUUCUCGGAGGAUUCUCCAGCGUUUUAUCCGCCAUUUUUUGAUAGUACUCAAAAUAUACGACGUUUUUAAAAAGCAUUUGAAAUUUAAUGCAAGAAUACUUCUUGAAAAGCGAGACAGAGCUGACAGAUGUCUAGCACCACUGGUGCAACAUUCAUCCUCUUGAAUUAAAGAUGGAAGCAUUCUGCAUAUGUAGGCUAACAUGAAUGAAAAGAACGUCACUCAGGCCAAAAAAUAACCAAUGUUUUGAAGAAUGUAGAUGGAAGUUAUUUUUCCGAAACUUGUGAAUCUCAAUUCAGAUUGUAUUUAUCAUCUGCAAGUUAUUUCUAAUCUCGCAGAGCUUCCUGGAGUAUCAAUCUGCAUAAAUAUUCCUAAAUGGAAAAGUGGAGCUAAUCUUGGGUGAUAUUUCUUCACUUAAAUUAAAUAAGUUUAGAAAAUAAUGCUGUUUUGACAAAUUUAUUUUAAAUGUUUCGGAGAUGGUUCACAAACCCUUUCCUAGCGGUUAACGUAAAGCAUUUUAAGGUUCUUGUUCAAACUAUGCAAGCAUAGCAUGCAUAUUCACGUAAAUCGGUAAAUAACAUUAACAAUUUGAUAAUUAUCUUAGUUCACACAGUUUAAUUAUCUUCAAGAAUCUUGAAGUUUCUAAACAAGCCACACGAGUAAAACAAUGGUGAAAUGUUAAAAUCUCAGUGAGCGAAAGCAAUCAAUCAAAAGUUUGAAUGCACGAGUUUCGCUGGUUAAAGUCUCUGCCAUUUUGACAGUAAGUGCAUCUGGUUAUACUUUGUAUUUAGAACACUUCACUUAUGUGCAUUUAGGUAUCUGGUAUUAGAUCGGGGGUCUAGUCAUGAAAUCUUCAAGCGAUAACAAAUUCCGAAAAUAGGCAGUAAUUUAAAUAUUCUUGUUAAAAUGUAAACCUCGAUUAAAAUUAAAUCGAAACAAACUAUCCGAAAUAUUUGCAUAAUGGUAAAAAUAUUGACCUUCAUCUUAACGAAGCAUUUGCCUUUUUAUUCUCAGUAGUGAAAACUUGCAUCAGAUAUCGAUAGUCUAAAAGUAAGCCAUCCUGCUAGAACAAUUAAUGCGCUUUAUUGCUCAUGUUAAUAAGACUACCUAAUAUGUAUAAAUCAAACGAAUCGGUGCUUAUGCAAAUUGUUUAGUGGUCUGAAGAGAAUACAUUUCCAAUCCGUUUCCGAAAGUUCUGACCCUGAUAUUUAAGAUCUAUUUUCCCAUUUGUAUCGAGGUGCAUGUCAACUUCAUAGAAAAAAAAUCUACACGUUGGAUUUAAAAUUUGCUUCGAUUUACUUUCCUAUUGAAUAAAUCUGUAGAAAUUCUGCUCGACGUUUAUUCAAAUUCUUCAUUACUAAUAUGAUAAUGGGUUCAUACAAAAUACAGAUAAUAGGUCAAGCAUUACCAACUCAUUAUUUUACUCCAAAAAUGAAUAUUGGAAAAUUCUUCGCGACCAGUGAUAAGUCUCCGUUGAAUUCGUGUAUAAUUGUCUUUUGACCUAUUUACUUCAAAAAGCAAACUCAAUAAGUAAAAAACAAAUCCACACUAGCGAAUUGGAGUAAUUUAGGAAACUACAACGGAGAAGAAUGUUAAUAAGCUUCCAAAGCCCUGCAUGCAAUGAAAUGACACGAAUGUUAAAGUUUAACUUGAUACUUAAUUUUAGGGCAAGUUAGCGUAGAUGAAUAUCGAAUUUUCUUAAACUAAGUUUAGAAAGAAAUGUUAUAUUUUCCGGUGUUGGAAGAAUAAAGUUAAGCUUUUUUGUAAAAAGGAAGGUUGUAUGCAUGCUCACUGUUAUAAGUUAAAACUACAGAAAUGAUGGGUUUUUAUACAAAGUAGGAAAGCUCUCUAUUAUUAAUAAAGAAAGCAUCCAUCAGCAAUUCAUAGAAGUUACGAAAUUUCAUUAAUACUUUACAGAACUAACAUCUAACCUAACUUAUUUGAGGUAUAUUGAGGUGGUAUUUUCUUAUUCCGUACGCGAAUAAAUAACUCGAUCGUGAAGUUUUCGCCUAUAAAAGGAUUCCCGGAGAAUGAAUUUGCCCGUCUUUGAAACAGCGGGGGGUAUCUAAUAAAGGAACCUUUUAAGCUUUGUAAUAGGGUGUUCGGUAGAGGAAAUGAGGGGAUGUUUCUUUUCCCAUGUAAAAGUGGAGGGAGGGAUAGGCACCAGCCGGCUGGUAAAAGGGAGGGAAUAUUGGUUUAUCCUUUAAAUCUCUACAAUACAAAGAAGCUUAACUUGUUCUUUCAGUUUUGGAGGUAGUGGAAAGAUUCAAAUUAUCGUAGUAAUUAAUUUAAAGAACAUAUUAAACACUUUCUAUUUUGCUUAGUUAUGGCCUCUCCCGUUUCCAUUCUUUCUGUAGGAAACUUAAUCUACUGCAAGUUUGGUGGAAAAUUAAAAAGGAAUUUUCGCGGAAUACUCGCUCUCUGCGAGUGUUAAAUAUAAAGUCUUUUAUUUGAGAUUAUGUAGGAGCGUCGUGAAUGUUUUGCUUUAGGAUCUGAAUAUUCAUUUUAUGAGUAGAAUAAUUAGUCGGCUUUGCGUAGUCAAAUAUUUACUACUUCAAAGCUCAUAGCAGAUUUAUCAUCUACCUUAUUAAGCAUAAUCGUAAUGUGAAAGCCAUAAUUCUAUUACUCAAACUUAUUUCUUGCAAACAUUAUGCUAUGUUUCGAUUUUAUUAUAAAUAUAAGUAAAUACAAUAAGUGUGGCGCAGAUUAGCAAAAGAUGGCUUUUGUGGCAUAAAAUAUAAAUCGUAACUGUUGGAAACAUUAUCAAUAAAUAAGAAUCGCUGUCAUCGCUUGAAAUUAAAUCCUUUGUUCUCGUAAAGAUAAAUUUGCUCAGAUAAACAUACACCCUGUUUUUAUUUCAUAACAAAUGAUUUUCUGUUAUGUAUAGUGAUUAAUGCUUUAGUAUUUAAUCCUUUGCACUUAGUAAUGACAUCCAGUUGCUUUUCAAACUUCAGUUUCGACAGCUAAACAUAGCAAUACUUUAUUCUUCCCAAAAGUUGCCAAUUAUAGUAAAAGAAACUUUCUUUGAAGAAAAUUAUCCAAUGUCGUGAAUGGAGAAAAGAUGCAAACGGGUGAGUUCAAAUCUGUAUUGUGUGAAUCUCAUUUUAAUCAUCGAGAAAAUUAUAACUGAAUUUAAUAUUUCACGUGCAAAGAUACAUAGAAACGGUUUUAAUUAAAAUAAUAAACAUGUAGUUUUGAAAACGUCUGCUCCAUUCGCUAUUUCCUUGUAUUACUGAGCUUGUGCUAAUACUUUAUACAACUUUGAGACAAAGAACGUUUUAGUAUUCUAUGAUGUAUUCCUCGGAUCAUAAUCAAGGUGCCAGUUUUCCUCGUACUGGAAUGACGCGACUAGAAGUCCAAAAAUUUUCCUAACUUAAUAGAACAGUCGAAAAAAUGAUGCCAGGAAUUAUUACCCAUAUAGCAUAACUGACUAGGAAUUAAAGCCAUUAACAAUAGUUUCAUAGUUGCAAUGCUACCGUAGUCAAUGUUUAAGUACAUAGCAUAUGGAAGAAUUCUUUGUUAUUCAGAAUAUGAAACUGAUACGACGUCAACAUACCUUAAAACCUGCGAAAAAUUGCCAAAUAUCUUCAUGAAUUCAUAUUUAAAAUUAAGUCAAAUUUUCGUACAAACAAGUAUACAUGUCUUAUGGAAGCGCUUCAAAAAUAAGCAAUAAAUAUGACGGGCUUGAAAAUCCACGCAAUUUAAACUUUUAAUUUGAAAAUUGUUUCAAUUACUUCUAAAUCGAUAUUAACAAACGAUUUGUCUACUAGAUAAUGCUCUUUAUGAAAUCGAACGAUCGCGAUUUAAUUGUUUUGAGACUAACAUUAAACUCGUAGCAAUUGUCAUUUUAAAAGUGAAAUUUAGAUUUGUUCCGUGUUCAAUGGGUUUGUGAACUUCUCCAGUACAGCAUAUUGCAAUUAUGUAUAGAUUUAUUCUCUUCCAUUGUAAUGUUUGUUAAUGAACUGAGAGUUAAUUUUGUUAUAUUUUGUUCUUUAGCUAAGGAGUCUUUCAUGACAUAAAUGCUAUUUAAUU